CGGACGGGUGAGUAAUGUCUGGGAAACUGCCCGAUGGAGGGGGAUAACUACUGGAAACGGUAGCUAAUACCGCAUAACGUCGCAAGACCAAAGAGGGGGACCUUAGGGCCUCUUGCCAUCGGAUGUGCCCAGAUGGGAUUAGCUAGUAGGUGGGGUAAUGGCUCACCUAGGCGACGAUCCCUAGCUGGUCUGAGAGGACGACCAGCCACACUGGAACUGAGACACGGUCCAG
rnacentral:rRNA from 1 species